rnacentral:rRNA from 1 species
UACGUAGGCAGCAAGCGUUGUCCGGAGUUACUGGGCGUAAAGGGUGCGUAGGCGGCUUCUUAAGUCUGGUGUGAAAUCUCCCGGCUCAACUGGGAGGGUGCGCCGGAUACUGAGGGGCUAGAGUGUGGGAGAGGAAAGUGGAAUUCCUGGUGUAGCGGUGAAAUGCGUAGAUAUCGGGAAGAACACCCGUGGCGAAAGCGGCUCACUGGACCACAACUGACGCUGAGGCGCGAAAGCUAGGGGAGCAAACAGG